rnacentral:rRNA from 1 species
AUUGAACGCUGGCGGCAUGCCUUACACAUGCAAGUCGAACGGUAACGCGAGGGCAACCUUGGCGACGAGUGGCGAACGGGUGAGUAGCGCAUCGGAACGUGCCCAGUAGUGGGGGAUAGCUCGGCGAAAGCCGGAUUAAUACCGCAUACGACCCACGGGUGAAAGCGGGGGACCGCAAGGCCCCGCGCUAUUGGAGCGGCCGAUGCCCGAUUAGCUAGUUGGUGAGGUAAAGGCUCACCAAGGCGACGAUCGGUAGCUGGUCUGAGAGGACGACCAGCCACACUGGGACUGAGACACGGCCCAGACUCCUACGGGAGGCAGCAGUGGGGAAUUUUGGACAAUGGGCGAAAGCCUGAUCCAGCCAUGCCGCGUGCGGGAAGAAGGCCUUCGGGUUGUAAACCGCUUUUGGCAGGAACGAAACGGCGCGGGCGAAUACCUCGCGCUAAUGACGGUACCUGCAGAAUAAGCACCGGCUAACUACGUGCCAGCCGCCGCCGUAAAAC